rnacentral:rRNA from 1 species
UACGUAGGGGGCAAGCGUUGUCCGGAAUCAUUGGGCGUAAAGGGCGCGUAGGCGGCUAUUCAAGUCUGAUGUGAAAGUGCGGGGCUUAACCCCGUAAAGCAUUGGAAACUGGGUGGCUUGAGGACAGGAGAGGAAAGUGGAAUUCCUAGUGUAGCGGUGAAAUGCGUAGAGAUUAGGAGGAACACCAGUGGCGAAGGCGACUUUCUGGACUGUAACUGACGCUGAGGCGCGAAAGCGUGGGGAUCAAACAGGAUUAGAUACCCUGGUAGUCCACGCCGUAAACGAUGAGUGCUAGGUGUAGAGGGUAUCGACCCCUUCUGUGCCGCAGUUAACACAAUAAGCACUCCGCCUGGGGAGUACGGCCGCAAGGUUGAA